AGUGAACGCUGGCGGUAGGCCUAACACAUGCAAGUCGAACGGCAGCACAGUAAGAGCCUGCUCUUACGGGUGGCGAGUGGCGGACGGGUGAGGAAUACAUCGGAAUCUACUUUUUCGUGGGGGAUAACGUAGGGAAACUUACGCUAAUACCGCAUACGACCUACGGGUGAAAGCAGGGGAUCUUCGGACCUUGCGCGAUUGAAUGAGCCGAUGUCGGAUUAGCUAGUUGGCGGGGUAAAGGCCCACCAAGGCGACGAUCCGUAGCUGGUCUGAGAGGAUGAUCAGCCACACUGGAACUGAGACACGGUCCAGACUCCUACGGGAGGCAGCAGUGGGGAAUAUUGGACAAUGGGCGCAAGCCUGAUCCAGACAUACCGCGUGGGUGAAGAAGGCCUUCGGGUUGUAAAGCCCUUUUGUUGGGAAAGAAAAGCAGCAGGUUAAUACCCCGCUGUUCUGACGGUACCCAAAGAAUAAGCACCGGCUAACUUCGUG
rnacentral:rRNA from 1 species